rnacentral:tRNA from 1 species
GGGCGAUUAGUGGUAGUGGCAAUCAUUUCUGCUUUCCCAACAGAAGACAUGGGUUCGAUUCCCAUAUCGUCCA